rnacentral:lncRNA from 1 species
ACAUGGGAUUGGAAGAGGAGAGGCAAAGGCUCAAAGUGACGCGCGUGGAAUUCUUUUAUAGUGGCCGAGGAGGGAGAUCGGGCGUGGAUGUCGACGGCCGAGAUUCGGGGCACCUCUUUUGGAAACUGCGAUUAUGAGAGGAAACUUUAAAUUGAUUUCCUGAAAGGGUUCCCGGGAUGGUGAGGAUUGAUGGGAUGGUUUCCUUUCGGAGAGAGACGCGUGGGAAGGAAAGAAAUCGAAGAAAGAAAAUAUGGAAGGAAAGGAUUCCUUACGUGCAGAGGAGAGGAGGAAGACGAGCUCGUGCUCGUGCUCUGGCUGGGGCGUUCGGUGGAGAUGGGCCGGCCCAGUUGGGUCGCUCUUUUCUCUUUUUUUUUCCUUGUCUUUUCUUUUUUUUUCAUUUCUGUUUUUAUUAAUAACUUUUGAUUCCUAAUUCCAAAUAAGUCCAAAUAAACUCCAGUAAAUUUGUAAAUUCAAAUCCUCCAAAGUGUAAACUUUUGAGAUUGAAUCAUUUCAAAAUAAAAUAAGUAAAAAUACUUUUGCUUAUAUAAAUGUCAUUAGGAUUUUAUAAGUAAUACAUAAAAUAGAUUUUGAAUUCUAUUAUGAAACCUAUGUUUCAUAAAUUUGUUUAAACUACAACAAAAUAUUGGGUUGGCAUACUUUGCACUAAAACUCUUUCUUAGCUAAAUACCACAUUGGGUUGAACUCCAAAUAACAUCUUAUAAUAAUUAUACG